rnacentral:misc_RNA from 1 species
CAAGAAAUAGAUUCUGAGACUUGCAGCAAAUUUAUAGAAGACAAUUUUGAGGAUUCACAAAUUAACCGGGUAAAACCUAUUGCACAAUGUGACGAGUGAAGUUGGCCAACAGUUUGGCUGUAAAUAAUAAAUUAACAAGCACUAAAAAAUCAAAAAGCUUUCGUCUGAAACCAUUUUGUCAUUUUACAUUUGACAUUUAGAAGUCGGAACUGGGAUGCCCCAAGGUAAAAGCUUUAAUAAACUUCUAUAAAAGCUCUAAUGCCCUAGUCAAUUAACAUGUCUCCAGUUGUUCUUUGUAUCGCCGCUUUAGAGCUCUGCAUGCUGAAGUCAUCCCCGUGCCUUUUUAAUUCUUGGGAUCUAAUGAAUUCCUCAAUUCUUGCCUUCAACUCAACAUUUGGAAUCAGCAUGUCCGCAGUGAGAUGGGAGCGGUUGAAUGGAUCACUAUUGUCACUAAGAAGAUGCCUUUGAAUGACAGGUCUGUCUACUGUGAUUCUUGAAGAAGGUAAGAUCACCGGAUCCUUCAUCAAAGUGUAUUGAAUUGGAUCAAGGAAUUCAUCCGGUAUCUCUCCAAGGGCAGCUUCAGUGUCCAUUGCCUCAGAAGCUGCCACUUUGGCUUUGACACCGAGCUCAAUGAAUUCCUGUAUAACCCUCCCAUCUUCACCAAUUCUCCUAAGCACAUUAGCUGCAGCAUUAAAUAACUGCUCAUUGUAUGAUCGACCAUCCUUAGAGAUAGCAGCUGGAAAUAUGUUUUCUGUAUCACCCCUUGCCAGAUGAACAUAUACAUGGACAAUCUGUUUAAGCAACUGUUUUGGGCGGAAUUCAUACUUUUCUGGGUCUUUAAGAGUUAGAGAUUUUCUUUGGGGACCCACAAGUUGGAACAAAAAGUAAUUGAGCAUGCUGGCCACUCUUUCAACCAUCUCAGGAAGUAGAAAAGGUGCUGUAAUUUGCUCUGAUGUAAAUGCUAGCAUGCUCACAUCUUCAUUUGCCAAUUUCAUAUCAAUCCGAAUGAUAUUCUCUUGGGAAUGGAAAAGACGGGUCCUCUCCUGCCUCUCUUGAGCUGGCCUUCGCUCCCAUUCUGUAGUGUUUGACAUCUCAGCUUCCAACUCUUUAAGUUCAAGAAUUUUGUUCAGACUUUCAUCAAGAAGAAAGAUGCUAUCAUUGAUCAGGAAGUUUAAGAAAUUCAGAUAGACACCCUUUUCCUCUUCCUUAGCAAUCUGUCUCCAAGAAUUUCGAUGACUAGGGACCUCCCAUAGGUAUUCAAGAAGUUCUGCAAUAUUAUGUCGGAUGUUGAACUUAUCAUAAAACUGCACAAGAUAGAAAACAGAACAAUUAUGGUCCAUGGAACCCAAAAAUUCCAUUAUUUGACAUUGAAGACAGAUAAAUCAUUACUUGAUAAUUCAAUUAGAUAAAAAUGCAACAUGAAAUACAAUAAAAGGGAUGCAUUGAGAACUAGUCCUGAUAAAAGGAGUGAGCUAAAUGCCUAAUUAGAAUAUUCAAGAAAGAACGUAGAUCAUAUUCCUCCUGACAUAUGACAAUACCAGACAAAAACAAGAGAGCCAGUCCCCCACCACUGUUGACUCUAGAUUGUUUGUCAAGUGUAUAGCCAAUAUAAAGAAAUUACUGCCUGUGGGAUUAAAAUAUAUCUAGAAUAAAUGCUUAAAUUCAACGGUAUGAUAAAUAACAUUUGCACAAAUCAGCUGGUUGCAAAGGAUUAAUGCUACAGUUUGCUUCCAGCCAAGUGAUGAAAACAAUUGUCUCUCAGAAAAUCAAAUGUCAUGGAAGUCACCUGGGUGUGAGAACCAGUAAACUCAAUGUCAACAUAAAGCUUCAAGAGGUUCCUGACAAGAUACUCAAGGGACAAUUGAUGCCCUUCAAACAGAGUAGUCGCAGGAGAUGAACCACUUCUACGAGGCAUCCAGCAGUUCAAUACUUCAACCAUCUUUGCUCUUAGAUAAGGGUUUCUAAUGUAUGUUGGACUUGCCAUGAACAUGAUAAUAAAGUUCAUAAAAUCAUCCAACAAGACCCCAUCCAAAGCUUUUGGAAUCCGGGAAGCAAAUAUAAGCAAUUCCAUGGCAUCAUCCACAAAAUGUUCAGGCAAGGAUGCAAACUCCAUAGGGCAUGUUGGUGGCAGAGGCAUUUUAAAUCCACCAACCAGACCAACCAACCAAACCACGAUUAACCGGUAGAAAGAAAGUGCCCGCUGAAUAAGUGCUUCAUCCCUUAGUAUCUGAGCUUCAUAGCAAAGCUUUUCUUGUGAAUACAACUCUAAAUCUUUCUCAAGGCGAGCAAUAUCCAGCUGCAGUUGUGGAGAAGGUGACUGCUCUUGCAUGGCCUUCAGCGUCGAGAGACUGUCUUCACACCUUGAAAUGUCCUGAACUAGAUGCUUAAAGUCCGAAAAUGCUUUUAAAAGACCCAAGUUGAGCACUCUUGCAGUCAUAAAGAAGCAUUCACAGAUAAAUGUGUAUUUAGCCUUUUUACCACUACUUGAUGUAGGGUUAUCAGCACCACUACCAGAACUGGAGGCUUCAUGAGAUUGAAGCAAGCGAUUUUCACCAUCACUAGAAUGAGAAGGAACAACUGCUUUCCCAUGAUUAUCUUUAUUAAUCCACUCAGCAACUUCUUCUGAUGAUGCAUGUAGAGCUGUCAGCCCCCUUAGAUCCAAACGAUUACCGUAAAACACAUAUUUUGGAUCAAUCUUAUCCCUUUUUGUCAAAUUUAGAUCCAAAAAUGGUUCACAAAGCUUAAGCAUGACAGCACUUAGAUUAACAAACAUGCCUGAACUUGCACAAGAUAUAGGAUCAACCUGUAUAUGGGCUCUCGAUGGAUUUCUAUUGAUCACCUCAGCAAGAUAUUGAAGAACAUUCUCACGUGUAUCACUGCUUUUAAGCAAAGUGAAGAGAACCUUUUCUAGAUCAUCAUAUAGAUUAUUCAUAAGAGUCUUAAUUGUGGUGAAUGAAGAUAACAAAUCAGCUUGUCGACGAGUCGAUACUUCAGAGAAACACUGCUGUCCAACAUCCGGCUCGCUCUUGAAAAUGGUGUGAUCAGGCAAUGCACUAACAUGAAAAAAGGGCCCCAAAAUACUGGUCAUUUCGAUAACUCUUCCAUUCAAAUAAGCCCCUUUGGGAAUCCACCACGGAUGAUUCACAAGGGACUUAACUCCCACGGGAAAAGUAAGCAAAAACUUCAACGCCCUUAAAGGCUGCUGAAAAUUCCCCAACACUGAUACCUUUAUAACAUUCCCUCUCAAAUCCUCGUAAAGCCCCUUCAAUAUGGGGUCCAAGCUAUCAAAAUCCCCUUCCAGAAACAAAUCUUCCAAAAACCUCGGAGGCGGCGGCUGUGUUCCGCCGCUGUUAAACUCAUCUACGUCAGCGAAAAUGAGAGGAAGAAGCGGCGAAACAUUGGAUUUUUUAGGAUCAGAAUUAAAAGGGAACAUGUCUGGAUUCCCCAAAUGAAUUCUACAAUAAGAAACGAACAACUUCUUCGCUUGCUUGAUUGAGGAUUCCAAUUCUAAUUUGAUAUUUUUGUCCUUCAUAUUAGCAAUUUUCUUCUCCUCUUCCGUCGCGCGGCGAUAGCAGCCAAGUAGGUACUGGAACGGAGGCUCAGCUCCUGGGAAUUGUCCCGAUAGGCGAUCAAUCAGCACGCGUUCCACCAAGUCGCGAUUCACCUUCAAGUCUUUCCCUUCACUAAGGAUCUCUGCUGCGGUCAUCUCCAAGUAGACAAUUCGAGAAUCAGCAACUAUGGAGUCGGUGAGGGAGACUAGCAUGAUUUUGCGGAGGAUGAUAUCCUCGAUUUCCUCGAGGGACCUUUGGGGCUUCUUAGAGGAGGCCAUGGACAAUAACAACCAAAUUAUAUAAAAUAAUGAGAAUAAUAAUUAAAAAGUGUUAUGAUUUAGAAAUUUUUCUGGAGAAACAAACGGAAAGGGUUUAGGGAAGGCAGAGCCCAGAGGAAGGAGGAGGCGCAGCUGAAGGGAACCGUGCGUUGUUGAACCCUUUUAUCAUGCUUUCGUUUUCAG